UAUUCUGCCCUACAGGGAAGGAUGAGAAGCUUCGACUAAGGUUCGACUCGAGCGCCAGCGAGAGAACGUUGCCGCAGGCAACGGCCCGAAGGGCGAGGAGCGAUAGCGACGAGUUAUCCUUCCCCCACCACUG
rnacentral:sRNA from 1 species